rnacentral:lncRNA from 1 species
GAGUCCCAGAGGGGAGUCCUGAUGACAUAGAAGAUCUCCUCAGAGUGGUAUACGUUCCAGGGCAGGGCCUCUCUGUGCCUCCCCCUCCACUAGCACCACGACCUUCCCCAAGCCGCUCUCCACUUCAAAGGCACUCUGAAUUUGUCUUUUCCCAGCCCCACUCAACCAGACCAACCUCUGCCACCUGUGCUUCCUGCCGCUGCCCAGUGGUUGGGGGAGGGGGUUCAGAGAGGAGGAAACAUUUUUGAAUCAUAGUGUAACAUUGUGGGGACUGGGGGGUGGAGCACGAUGAUUCAGGUAAAGGAGGUGCUUUUACAAAAAGCCCUGCCUCAGAAAACACCCCGCACAGCCCCGGGAAUCUGCUCUGGGAUGGGGAGAGAAGUUGGAGAGGUCUCUGGAGCUAGACCCUGACAUGGUCUUGCACAGACUUGGACUCAAUGAACAUCUCUGCUUCUUCUUGCUCCAGACUCAGCUUCCUAGGACUGUGAAGGACCAAGGCAUCCAAGUGGGAUCACCAUUCAGUGCUUCUCACAAAAUGUGCCCUUUGACAAAGUACUUGCACAUGCGUAAUUCAUUUGGCACCCACAACAACCCUGUGGGAAAGAUAGUUUUUCCCCAUUUUUCAGGUGAAAAAACUAAGGCCAGAGGGGUUACAGAUUAUUUGUAUGAGGCAGGGUCUGGCCUGGAACACUUCUCAAGUCCAGCUCAACCACCACCAUUAAUACUCCGACAGGUUUCAAGUCCACUGGAUUGCCCCCAAGCUAAGUUGAUUCUCCUCUGCAAACUGGGGGUGGCAUCAUGCAAUGUCCAGAUUACCAUGUCCAGCUAAUUCUGGAAAUGGGAAGAGAGAAGACACGAAGAAGGAGGGUGGCCCUCAGUCUGUGCCAAGAGAGGUGGGGAAGGGGGAGGAAUUCUUGGCAGCCCCUUCCCACUGUGCUCUUACAAUGAGCUGUUCUUCGGGCCAGGGACUCGGCUCACUGUGCUAGGUAAGACUGGCCCCUCUGGCUGGGAAGAUGGGUGGACCGCUCAGCCUCGAGGACCCCCUAAACCGGGCCCUUGGGCAGUGGGCUCUGGACCUUCCUGGGUCCCUAAGUCCGGGAAGGCAGGGUUUGCUCCUGGGUCCCCAGGGCUGUGCGAACACGGGGCAGCUGUUCUUUGGGGACGGUUCCAAGCUGACUGUGCUCGGUAAGGAGGACAGUAGGGUGUCCCAGGGCGUUCCGUGGGGCUGGAUGGAAAGAGGUGGGCAGCUGCCCAGCUAGGCUUGGCGCCUGGGCCUGCCACUCCGGCUCCGGGUGCUGGGUGCGCGAUGGAGAGCUCCUGGUUGGCGGGACCUGGUCUGAGUCCGGGGCAGCAGGAGAGGGCACCUCCGGGUUUUUGUCCUGGGGCUCGGGGCUGUGAGUACAGACCCUCAAUAUUUCGGCCAGGGCACCCGGCUGACCGUGCUAGGUAAGCGGGGCGCCCGUGGAACCGGGAGCGGGAGUGGGGCGCUCUGGGACACCAAGAGGGUGGAGGGGCCCGUUUUUGUGCUGCGCCCGGGGGCUGUGAGCCAAAAUACUCAGUACUUCGGCCCGGGUACUCGGCUGUCGGUGCUAGGUAAGCGGGGACGCGGGGCGGGACGCGCGGUGGGUUUUUGCGCGGGGCUCGGGGGCCGUGACCUCAGAGACGCAGUACUUCGGGCCCGGCACGCGGCUCUUCGUGCUGGGUAAGCGCGGCGGCGCGGAGGGGCUGGAGCGGGCGGGCGGCGGACCUGGUUUUGGGCAGAAGCUCUGGGGCUGUGCUUUCCGGCGCCGACCAGACUUUCGGGGCCGGCAGCCGGCUGACCGUCGUGGAGAACCUGAACCAGGUGACCCUACCCAAGGUGGCUGUGUUUGAACCUUCGGAAGCAGAGAUCUCCCGCACCGAGAAGGCCACGCUCGUGUGCCUGGCCACAGGCUUCUACCCCGACCACGUGGAGCUGAGCUGGUGGGUGAAUGGGAAGGAAGUCCAGACUGGGGUCAGCACGGACCCUCAGCCCUACAGGGAGCAGUCAGAUGAUGAAAACCCCAGCUACUGUCUGAGCAGCCGGCUGAGGGUCUCUGCUGCCUUCUGGCACAACCCCCGCAACCACUUCCGCUGCCAAGUCCAGUUCUUCGGCCUCGCGGAGAACGAUGAGUGGAAAGAGAACCGGACCAAACCUGUCAGGCAGAACAUCAGUGCUGAGGCCUGGGGCAGAGCAGACUGUGGCCUCAGCUCAGGUAAGUGAGCCUCUUCUUUUUUCUUUCCAUCUCCCAUGGUCUUUGCUCUGGAAUCAGAGAAUAGAGAACCCAUGGACCCUGGGGGUGAGGCAGAGACACCUGCUCACAGGUACCUACCUGCUCUCCCUUCCCACCAACAGUGUCCUAUCAGCGAGGGGUCCUGUCUGCCACCAUCCUCUAUGAGAUUCUUCUGGGGAAGGCCACCCUGUAUGCUGUACUGGUCAGCGCCCUCGUGCUGAUGGCCAUGGUCAAGAAAAAGGAUUCCUGAGACCAGCUCCAAAAGUGUAUCCUGGGUUGUUCUUAAUCCUUACCCUAGAGUGUCAUUUACGUGCUUCCAAUCUGUGUUCCUAAAGAGUUAUUCUCUGUCUACCUUUUAUCUCCUUUCUGCAUGUCUGUCCCUUCUCUCUGCUUCCCUGAAUCUGAAAUAGACUAAGGUAAUAAAAGUGUCAUGCUGGAUCUGGCCGUGUCUCAGGAGUGUCUAUGGAGUUCUGCCCUUCAAAGACCUACCUUCUGAUUUGGAGAAAGCAACACCCCUCAGGCAUAUGGAGUGACUGACCCACCCUCCUCUCUGAUCAAUGCUACUUCCUCCUGUUCAUCCUGAUGGAGGAUGGACCCCAUGGCUCAUACCCAGGCAUUUGGGAUCCCCAGCAUCUAGUGUUAGUCUGAAGGGCUUUAGGAGCUGGACUCUGGAAAACCUGCAUAAGGAUGAGCACAGGGGAACUACAGCCCCACCCUCAGCUUGGGACAGAGGACAGAGCAGACCUGUGGGGUUAGAAUGCCUGGCCAUUUCUCAAUUCCAGAUUCAAUUUUCAUUUAUUAUGCAUUUAGGUGUUAUCUCUAUCUGUUCUUAACAUCUCCAUCUUAUCUUGAUUUUAGAUUUCAACAUAAGAUUUAGUUCUACUCUGCAUAUCUAGGUUAGAAUCCCAAAGAAGGCACAGAGCUGAUACCACUGAUAUAUGAAGUCUAGAAAUUCCACAGAGGCAGGGCACAUGGGUCAGGCCCGGAGGAGGAAUGGAGAAGGGAACGGUCCAGUGGGGGCUGAGGUGCUACACCAAGUAGCCCUUCCAACAAGAACCUUCACUUGAUGGGAUGGAAAGCAAGCCACCCCAAAUGCAGCAUGUUAAGUGCAUCCACUUGGGCAGAGACAGUUACCUCACUAGAAUAAACUCUACAUGCGGGUUAUAUUCACUGUGGUAGAACACUGCCCUAGGGGAGGCAAGGGAUGCAAUUAGAGGACAUAGGCAUAGACCAGUGAAAAGGCCAUGUGCAAGUUACUUGAGGUUGAAUGUAAGGGGUGAGAAGGAAGUCUGAAAGCUGAGAAAGCGUGGGGAAGAUAGAGUCCCUUAUUGAUAGCCUGCUUUGUUCCAGACUUUAGGCUGGGCACUGGCACACGUGUUGUCCCUGUUAAUCCCCACAAUGAGCCUACAAGUGGGUAUGAUUCUCCCUACUUUAUAGGUGAAGAAACCACAGUUCAUAGAUCAAAUGACUGGCAAGCUGUGAAACUGGCCCAUUCAAGAAGCUUUUUCCAAGUAGUGGUCAGGACGAUGUGACUGUCACGGGGUGACCCUGGAGCAUCUGCUCCCAAACUCUAGCACGGGACCCAUGGUAAAGACUGAAGAGACCUUGAUUCCUGAGUGUAUUUGUUUCCUAGCACUGCAGUAGCAAAGAACUGCAAACUUGAUGGUUUAAACAAUAGAAGUGUAUUCUCUCACAGUUCCAGAGGCCAGAAGUCCAAGAUCAAGGUGUGAACAGGGCCAUACUCCCUUCAAAAGCUCUAGGGGAGAAUCUUUUCUUGCUUCUUCCCAUUCCUGAGCCUCCUGGCAUUCCUUGUCUUGUAGCAGCAUCACUCCAACCUUAUGCCUGUCUUCACAUCACCUUCUGCUCAUGUCUCUGUGGCUCUGAGAAUUUUCCUCUCCUUUUUCUGAUCAAGACACAAGUCAUUGGAUUUAGGAUACACCCUGAAUUCAGAAGGAUUUCAUCCUGAGAAACUUAACAUUCACAUCUGCAAAGAACUUAUUUACAAAUUAGGUCACAUUCUGAGGUUCUAGGUGGGCAUGAAUUUUGAAGGGACAAUAUUCAUCCUACCACACUGAGUAUCCAGGAACCAGACAUGGGGGGUUCUCUAGACCAGCUCACACAGCCAGGAAAGGAUGUGGCCCAGGGCAGGCGUGGCCCAGGAAACUCAUCACAUGCCUGUAACUUCCCAUCAGUUGUAAUUAUCUCUAGACUUCUCAGACUGCAGUAUGGUUUUUUAAGUGUUGUUGUUUAUUUGUUUUUAUGAUGCCGAAAAAAGUCCCAAAUCAAAGAAGACAGCGUUUAGGCCCUAAACCAGCACCCACAGAAGCAGUGCCUCCUCUUUUUUAGACAUGUAUCAUGGCUCCUCCCAAGGCUGGGACGAGGAAAUAAGCAGCUGAAGGGAAAAGCAAAUGCCUCAGAGAGAACAGGGCUUGUGCAGGCCAGAGGGGGUGGACUGGCACAGGGUGUUGGAGGCCAGGGGCUUGCACGAGCAGAGCUGUGAGCAGGGAGCUGACUAGCUGUAGGGCAAAGAUCAAGGUGGAGGUGGGGAGAGGAAGGUUACCCUCACAGAGGGGAAAUGAGAUCUGUGGGCUUGGUGACUGUCACCUUGGGGAUGCUGAAAGUAGAGGCAUUAGCAGGUGGGAGGAUGUGGGAAGACUGCUGGUCGGCACCUGGGGUUGGCCAAGGUGACGAACGAAUGUGGAGGAUAAAUGACUUGGUGCACUUCACUCUCUCACACCAGGAGACAUAAUAGAGAUGGAGAAAGUUACAGACCCCAUUUGGUCCCCACCCAACACCCUACUUGACCUAGGGAGAGUUUCCUUUCCCAAAUUUUUACAGCCAUUUCCUUGUCUCUCUCAGACAAUGCCACCCCCAACAUUCAACUCACAGGCACUGGUAAGUUAAUCUCUUAUGCCUCUGCCUCUUUCUCUAGAAUCUAAGUACAUUCUUUUAGACCAAUUCUCUGGUCAUCCCAUGCAUUUUUCCUCAGGUGAAUGAUAAAAGAUGGGUUAGAUGUGGGGCAAUCAUAUCAUUUACUGUACAACUCGGGACACUAUUGAGAGUGAAAGAUGGGAUGCUAGGAUAAAAAGAGUAAGUCAGGAUUGUCCUGGCAAACCAGGACAUGUGGUCACUCCAGUUAAAAGCGUCCUGAGAAAGCUUCUGGGUCCAGAGUUAUUCCUGGAAUGGGAAAAACCAAAGCAAUUCCUCAUUGACCUGGGCCUAUCAACCUAUUCCAAUCUAAAGGCUUAUCUAAGCUUCACCCUAUUAAGAAAAUCUGUGGGAAGAAUGUGGUCCAGGAGCAAACUCGACUAGUGACACCCAAUCCAGGGGCAAAGCAUGCUUGUUGAUUGAGGAGAAUGUAGAAGCCGGUAUUUCUAGAAGAACACCUGUGGGAUGCCGAGUUCUCACCAUUCCAUGGGGGACAACAGGACUCCCCAUGGGUAGCACUCCAGGAGAGGAACCUCAAACCUGUGCCCUUUAGAGAGUUAUUCUGAAACUAGGAGGGGAAAGGACACAUCCAACCAGUCAUGUAAUAAUGGGAAUGUCCUGGUGGAAGAACAGGAUUCCUGUGGUGAAGGGAAGCUGGAGUCACUGUCACUGGCCCAAGAGAAAUUCUCCUAUCAGCACCAGUAUCCGCUAGAGACCUGAAACCCUUCCUACUGCACAGCUCAUGGCCAGGCUACAGAAGGUUUGGCAGUGGGACUUGGGGAGUAGAGGAGGUUGGGACCAUCCAAGAGACAAAGACUUAUUCUCUCUUAAGUAAGCAACUAAGCAAGAGUAUUGGAGAGAAGAAAGAUAAAAGGAUUUUAGAACAAGAGAGGCUGAGAUAAGAGGAAUGGAUGCUGAUAGAUACUGAUACCUUCAUUUCCUUCCUUGAGCCAUUUCCUCAUUUUUCUUCUUCCAUAGUGACACAGAGAUGGGGAGCCUGACUUGUAUCAGUCCCUAACAGUCUAUGUGACACACAGCCCCAAAUGUCCCACGUGGAGGAGUUCUUGAGGUCGAUCUGCUCAGGGAUAGAUGUGGGAAUGGAGUGUGUUUUUUUUUGUAUGUGUACAAAAAAACACACUCAUACAUAGAUGCAUUGCAUUUAGGGGUGUUAGGAGACGUUGAUGGUGAGCACAGGAAUAAUUCAAAACCCCAGGUCAAUUCCUAGCAUCGACACUGAGCUAUGAAUGAAUCUGUCAUCUGCAACCCCACUGACCUCUUCUUAAACUUUCAUCACCAAUUUCCCUUUUACAUGUCCAUGGAAAUUAGCCUUUGCCUACAUAAGAACACCCACAGUAGAGAAGGCCACAAAGCCUGGGCAACAAUUUUAAUUACAGUUCAUUCCUGUUACUUGUAGCAGACCCACAUAGUUUCUAGAUUUCUGGACCUUGAGACCCAUAAUGUGAGACAUUAUCCACCCUAUGUGGGCCCUGAACACAAAGCAUUCCUCGCCUCAGUCUAAGGUUGCAAAUCCUCUCCUCCCAUCUUGGUGACUUUCUUUUCUUGUGCUGUAUUUGUAGAUCUGGAGUCUCUGGGUUCUUAACACAUCCUACAACUCUGCUGUCCUUAGGAUUUAUUGUGACAGUACUCGGUCAUGACCUGAAUCACCUCCUUCCAACAAACGACAUAUUCUAUGCUCACCACACCCCUCCUCUACAGUCUCAACUACAGGUCUUUCUCUUCCAUCUCCAUUCAUCGUCUUUACAACUCCUAGGAGGGCUUCUUGGGGAAAAUUGGGUCCCAGAGAUGAGUGAAUAGAUCUGUAUGUCAGCAAGAAGACUCUGAAAAUGAGCCCAAAACUGUGACUAUUUCCAUAGAAGUUUCAUCAGCUUGUCUAACUUAUGUCAGCUGUCCUCUGUGAUAUGAGGGAUGGUCUUGACAGGAAGACUGUGUUCCAGGGCUUCCUGUGGACCCAGCCUCCUACCACAACCUGACCAGACUUGCUGACAUAAGGAAGUGCAUUUUAAAAUAGAGACUUGAUGGUGAUACUAGGUGUGACUCCUCUUGGCCAAGUUCUAGGCCACUCCAGCAAUUACAACUCGGCCCUCUUCACCCUCACUCCCACGAUGGGACUUCAUCUUGACCGGAUCUUGGAAUCAUAGACACUUGGGGUGGUAAACAAGCAUAAUUUUCAGAGUCUUGAAUCCUCCUCAGUUAUGUUUGACCUGUCCUGGGACAGAGAAUCCUCGACCUGUCUGGAUAGGCCAUUUCAUCACUGGACAACUCUAUAAAGAAUUUUGUCUUGCAUAGGUAUCCAUAAAUCUCAUUGUAGUGCCCCUCAUUGGUCAUAAUUACACUCCUAUGAGAGCCCUUCCUAAGACAGCUAGCAUGCCCACCUCCAACCAAGAGUCCACAAAUCUAUGAGAGACAGAAUAAGCAGAACCUUUAAAAGCUUGAGUUUGCAGAACGGAAGAAGCAUGCAGUAGAUAGAGGAGAACAUCACAAUAACAAAGAGUAUGGACUUUAAAGCCAAAGAGACAUAGGUUCAAGCCUUACAUCUUCCACUUCUCAGCUGUGUGACCUUGGGCAAGUGACCACCUCUGAGGCUCAGCUUUCCUUCCUAUAAAAUGGGCUCAAUCACAACCCCAACUUCAUAAGGUGGUUUCAUCCUCUUUAAUUCACACAACACUUAAAGCUGUUAUCACAGUACCAAUAAAUGUUAGCUGUUAUUAUAAUUAUUAUUAUUAGCCUAAAGAUUUUUCUUCAGGCCAAACAUUUCCAGUUCUCUCAAUUUUUGUCUCAUAUGGCACAGUGUCGAGCACUUCCUACUCUCCACAGCCAAGCCCUUCUCUUCUGAAACAUUUAUGUUUGUUUUUACUCUUCCACCUUUCCAGAAGUGUGGGGUUCCGAACAGGACGCAGCACCAGUGGGUUCUGACCUACACAGAGCAUGGAGGGAGCUUUACCUCCUUAUUGUCCAUAUCUUCUACGUACUCCAUUGGGGCAACUUCUCACUGUCUGUCCCCACACCGCCCCACUGACUCACACAGCUCACUUUUGACUCAGACCUUGGGUUUUUUCACACACAUCGCCUGUGAACCACAUAUCCCCUGCCUGGUUCAGGCAGUUGGUUUUCUCUCUUUUUGGCGGUGGGGGAGGGUCAUGGAGUACUUGUUUAAUUUUAUCAUAUUUCUUCGGCUCAUCUCUCCAACCUCUCUAAUUUCUGCAGGCUGAUUUCUGAUUCUGAGGCUAACCGUAUUUAUCCCUCCAUCCUCACGCCACCUCUGAUGUCAUCAUUUGCCUUGUUUAUUCUUGUACAAGUGGUUCAUAAAAUUCAGAGCAAGAUCACAGCUCAACGUAAAGCCCACAUUCCCCUAAGCUUGGUCUGAGAUCCAGGAGCUGCUGAAACACAGAGAAUUAGCUUCUGGUCCUCCUCUGUCCCCAGCUGCAUGGCCCUGAACAACUCAUUCUUCUUCUCUGGGCUUCUAUAUCCUCCUCUGUGAAAUGAGGAAGUUGGGUAAAGUGAUGUCUAAGGAAUCUUCAAGCUCUGCUCUUCAGAUUCAGUGAUUCAAAGUCUACAAGCCCCAAAUCACCAGAAGGAGGGAACUCGGGGAAUCUAAGCUCUUCCCAGAAGCAAAUCAUUCAGACCUGUGACAUAGCCUCAGCGGGGGAGUGAUGGUGACCCCGGAAUCUCACAUUUAACAAGAGGCACCUGGAGCCCUGACACCUGCUCCCUGGCCCUCCUUCAGGAAAGAUAUCCAGAGCCAUGAAUGAGGAGAAGAAAAUGGUGUUUCAAGCAGGACGGCCUUGAAUUAAAGGCCAGGAAGUAAAGAGACACAGGUUGGGGUCUUUUAGGAGACAGCUGGGGAAGGGAGGGGGUGUCUGAGCAAAAUGUUGGCUGCCAGGCUGUUUAUCUCUGAGUAACAUCAGCACAAGUAAUAACAGCCACCCACCUGUCCCUAGCACCAGGUCGGGGACUCACAACAGGAUGUGGUUUGACAUUUACCACGUCCUGCAUCUGGGGCGCCUGUGAAAGUCCCUCCCCUACCCAUCUUCUGAGCACCUCAAGAACCACACUCACCACAUCCUGCCACCACCCCUUUGCAUGCUGCUCUUUCUACCUGGGCCUCCAGUGAGCACCCUGGUGGUGGAAAUAGCACUACAGAGGGUGGAGGGGUCUCUAGAGGGCAUCUGGGCUCCACAGCCCCACAAGAAGACCACCUCACCCCCCAAUAUAAUCCUACACCUGCUGGAGGUUACUCCCAAGAUCAGAGGCUUCAUGGGCUCCUUGGAGACAGUGAAGAAUGAAAAACAGCUGCAAUAACUGCUCUGACCCAAUUGAGGUCCCUUCUGGCCCCACAUCACUCAGGCAACUCCCUCCUCCCACCCUCCACACCCUCCCACUUCCCUCCACUCAUCUAAUGAAGGGCCCUAAUGAGUCACAGGAAAGAGAGCCCCAGAUAAUCAACAGACUGAAAAACAGACGGUCCCUGGAUAUGGGAGCCAGUGUGUGUGCCAUACUGACUGGGUUUCUCUAAGCGUCAUCCUCUGUUGCUAAGGCCUGUGAGGUUGUGGGAUGGACACUUUCUAUCCCAUCUGGGUAAGCGGAGGAGGGGGAACAUACGCAGGAGAGAAUGGAAAACUAGGGAGGCAGAACACCCCAAAGCAAGGAGCAGGAAAUAAGAGAAUAGAGAACAGGCCAAGCCUACUUCAUAGCAGCUCAAAAGGCUACAGCACACUCAACCCAGAGCACAUAAUCCCAGUCAAACCAUGAGGCAGCCCAAUUUUUAUGUCACCAGCUUCCCAACCCUGGGCUUUCUCAAGCUAUCUACAGGCUCCAAGUUCUCUCCCUAUAAAUCCCAUGAGUGGCUGAGAUCCAGGUGAGACAUCAAAGGGAGUUCCUCUGGCCACCAGAGGAACUUUCACGUGCCAGUGGCCAGGGAAUGACAUGUAUGGGAAUAGUCAUCCUGGCAUACCUACAAAGUCAGCGCCACAAACGGGGUCCUGGCAGCUCUUCUAGGAAACAGACAACCUCAUCUUCCCAAUGGGGCAAUUGAGAUUGGUGAAUUCCUGGCAAGAGACAGCAUAUCUGAUCAGCAUCUACCAUCCUGAGCCAGUUUCCUUUGUCUCCUGAAAUUACAAAACUGUAGAUUUUUUAGUCCUAGACACUAUGGAAACAGGGGACUAGGACUCUUAUUCAUGAAUAGGGCAGAUAACAUGGAGGAUAUUAACUCUUUAGAUGGCUUUCAAACCUCUCCUUACCUAUUAAUGUCUCCUGUCUCUCUAUUACCCUGUGCAAUGAUCAGGAUUGUUUACUCAGUGCUUUUCUGGAACUUACAAUGUUCACUAAUUCACUAAUUCCAAAUUUCUAUUCAAACUGACUCCUCUGUUGAGAAUGUCAUUUUGUUUAUCUAAAUGCUAGAACCCUAAAAACUACAUCUUGCUAAAAUUCUUUCUCCUUCGUGAAGUUUUCUAGAACCUUUCCAAAUUUUCUACAGGAAUGAAAAGUCUAUUUUAACUCUCCUACCAUCUCCACUUGACUAGUAGUGAUUACCAGAACACCCCUCUGUUAAGAAGGACUCUGAGGCUGCAUAAAACCCCAAAGGAAAAAAUCAAUGACCAAUAACUGAAUGGGCACAACAUAGGGUGCGUUUCAUGGGUUUGCCAUCCAAGUAUAUUCAGCAUUUUAAACUAUUUACUACAUAGUUGAAAAUCUAAUCUUUUAAAAAAAAAGUCUUUCUUUUGGGUAAGUUGUAAUCAAGAUAUCCUGUAAACUUAAAGAGACGAAAAUAAUAUCUUUUGAAAAUUAGACUCUGUAAUACAUUUAUAUGUUUAUAACAAACACCAUCUCAGGUAAAAGACUUAACAGUCCAACAAGAGAAGUUUGACAGAUGAGGAAAAUGAGGCUGAGAGAGAUUAGACAAUUAGCCCAAGGUCAUAACAACUGGUAAAUUUAGUCUCAAAAACUAAGUGCCUUAAAAAUAUAGAGAUAGUAAAAAGAUCAAUGGUCCCCAGCAUUUCGAGGCACAGAGGAGAGAGAUGAUUAGGUGAAGCACAGAUCUGUAGGCAGUGAAACUAUUCUGCAUGACACUGUAACGUGAAUACAAGCCAUGACCUAUUUGUCCAAAAUCAUAGAAAUGUACAACACAGAGUGAAUCUUAGUGUAAACGUAGAUUUUAGUUAAUAGUAAUACACCAAUUGUUGGUUCAUUAAUAGUAACAAACGUACCACACCAACGUAAGAUGUUAAUAAUAGGCAAGACCGGGGGAGGAAAUGGACAUUUAUGAGAGUUUUCUCUAUUAUCUGCUCAAUUUUUGUGUUAAUCUAAAACUGUUCUAAAUAUUCAAGUCUAUUAACUAAAAAUAAUCCGGAAGCACUGUUUCAAGGAGGGAUCUAUUUCUGCUAAAGUUCAAUAAUCAGCUAAUAGCCAGACACUGGCUUGAGAUAUUGUUUACUAUUAAAUGUGAGCCAAACUUAAGCUGUAAAUACCUUUUUACUUCAUAGCACUGCUGAUUGACUUAGUAAAUUAAAAUUUUCACAAAUGGAAAAAAUAACGAACCAAGUGGCUUCCCUAAACCAUACUGUGACUAUGCACAGCACCAUUUUAAUCAUAUUUCGUUUUUCUUUUUAAUCCCUGUGAUGGCUCAGAAUGCCCAGCCCACAAGAACUACUUAAUAUAUAGUUUGCUCCUUAAGGUGCAAUAGGGACCUGUGGGCAUUAUUAAAUACUGUCUUGAUCACUUUGGGUCUCUGUCUCAGAUUUUCUUCUGCAGAUUAAAUGAUACUGA